UCUCUAUUGCCUCCUCCCUCCAUAUAUGCUCCUCACACCCAUCUCACUCACUCACUCACUCACUCACAAGGGUUACUUCAAAACCCACGUUUUCUAAAGGCUAGAAAAAAAAUAUCUUGGUCUUCAUUUCUUUCUUCAAGGCAGAAAGCCCUAAUUUCUCUUUUUCUUGCUUAUUUCAGAUAUUUUAUUCUAAGAAUAUCUGCUUUAAGCUUUGAUAUCACCAUGUUUUUCACAAGAAAGAGCUUUGAUAUUCUAUUCUAUUCUAAUUUGAGGCCUCAAUAAUCUGCCAACGUACAACAACAUUCACCUAUAUCCAUGAGCAGCAACACACAAAACGACGCCGUCCACGCCAAUUCAAACCAUGUCAAGCUCCGGUGUUGAUCCGGCCAGUUAGCCCCGGCCCGGGAGGCUGAUGCCCUGUAAUUGAGCAGGCAGAGAAUCACUGCAGCGAGUAGAAUCCCGAUCAAAUCAGCAACCGCAUCCUUGGCAGAUGCACCAGCUGAUUUGAAAUAGCCCAAUUCGUCGGCAAACUCCUUAGCGGCGCCGGCAGCAAAUGAUAGGAGUGAUCCGAUCCAAAUGCUGCGGCGGCGGAGGAAUGGGUAGCGAGUCCCAGCCGCGAGUAGAGAGGAAACGACGGAAAUGAAGAAGCAGAAAAGAACGUCAUACAGCGGCCAACCAGUCGUAGCCGUUUUCCAUCGAGCGGCAGCUGCGAAACUUGUGCUAGCCUGAAGAUUUAGCAACUAACGUUACUAAUUUUUUUUCCUUGAAUCAAAUGAGAUAAUCUGUCUGCUAAUCUUUAUAGUGGUUUAAUCACCAAAAUAUGAUUUUCAUACUUUGUUGUUU